rnacentral:rRNA from 1 species
GACGAAGGUGGCGAGCGUUACUCGGAAUACUAGGCGUAAAGCGUGGGCAGGUGGUUCGGUAAGUCUGUUGUGAAAGCUCCCGGCUCAACUGGGAGAGGCCAAUGGAAACUGCCGGACUUGAAUCGAGGAGAGGUCGACUGGAAUUCCUGGUGUAGCGGUAGAAAUGCGUAGAGAUCGGGAGGAACACCAGAGGCGAAGGCGGCGACCUGGACAGAUACUGACACUUAACUACGAAAGCGUGGGGAGCAAACAGG